GGCAAGUUAGUGUAACGGCUUUACCUUAAUCCGAUGAAGGUUCAAAUCCUUCACUUGUCU
rnacentral:tRNA from 1 species